AGCGAACGCUGGCGGCAGGCUUAACACAUGCAAGUCGAGCGGGCCCUUCGGGGUCAUCGGCGGACGGGGGAGGAACGCGUGGGAACGUGCCUUCUGGCCGGGCAUAACACUGGGAAACUAGGGCUAAUACCGGAUACGCCCUUCGGGGGAAAGGUUUACUGCCGGAGGAUCGGCCCGCGUCUGAUUAGCUAGUUGGUGGGGUAACGGCCUACCAAGGCGACGAUCAGUAGCUGGUCUGAGAGGAUGAUCAGCCACACUGGGACUGAGACACGGCCCAGACUCCUACGGGAGGCAGCAGUGGGGAAUAUUGGACAAUGGGCGCAAGCCUGAUCCAGCCAUGCCGCGUGAGUGAUGAAGGCCUUAGGGUUGUAAAGCUCUUUUAUCCGGGACGAUAAUGACGGUACCGGAGGAAUAAGCCCCGGCUAACUUCGUG
rnacentral:rRNA from 1 species